ensembl:lncRNA
CUGAACUCUGUGACACAGUGAAGAUUACAGAGUUUAACUUCAACAUCUGACUGACGUCACACAGACAGAAGGAUGAACCAGUGAGGCACAGAACACAGUUACUGGAGAUACUGGAUCAGCUCCAUGUGAACCUCUGAUGGAGAAGCUGCUGAGCCAGAGAAACAUCAGGACAUGACAGCAGCUGCACUUAUCUAACAACAUGUAGCAGAGCUGAUCUAUGUUAGAGGAUCUAUCACAGCAGCUGAAGCCAAAGUCCAACACUGGAUACCAGCUGAGCCUGUGCUGAGUGUAGUGUUACAGGAAAAGGGCAGAAACACUGGUAGCUCCCAGUGAUGCUGACUGGGGCACAGAGCUGAAUGAUGCAGCAUCAGGACACUGUUUCAGUCUGACUGACAGAGAAACCUGUAGCUGUAUCUACAUGUGAGGCAGAGGCCACACAAGCAGCUUUCUAUGUUUCACAGUGACUGAGAUCUUCAGUGGGGGUGGACAUGCUCCUGUACAGACCUCUGAGGAGAACCAAGGUGCAGUCAAAGAGUCCAGUCUGUCCUCACAGAUGUGAACAUGUGCUUUCAUCAGGUCUGCUGUCAGCUAGCAGGCUCACAUCAGAAUCACUGUUCCUGAAAAACACAGUCUGUGUGACAUCAUCAGUCAGCUGAUGGUCCCAGAUCUGAAUGGUUUCUGUCUCUACUGAGGAAGUCAGAGAAUAUCACUGAGGUGUGGAUCAGGUCUCACGUCCUGCUCAGUCUGCUAGCAGAUACCUCGUAUUGUUCCAGAUGUGCUGACAUCAGCAGCAGCACAGCUGUGUGAUACCAUGAAUCUCAGUUAUUGAUCCAACACACAGUAAAUACAAAGAUCAGGAUUUCUGAGAGUAAUCAUUAUGAGUCUGAACACAUGAUCACUGAAUGUUAGUCUCCACAAUAAUAAGCUAACACAAGCAAACACAGCUUUCAGCUCUUAUUUUGAAACUGGCUUAUUUAGAGAGCUGUGAUGUGAGCGUGCCUGGCUCUGAGGCACUUGGGUCAGCCUCUGUUGUUUAGAAGUGUUACAGACUGUGAAUGACACAGACCUGUCAGUUUCCAUGUUUGUCUGUAACACAGCUCAGGGCUCCAUGCUGAACGCAUCCAUCCAGUGUUAUUGAUCCAGGACUGAUACCAGCAUUGGGAUCAAUACUACAACACACAAUCACAUGUGUCCACGUGAUGCAGUUUGAAGAGCAA